rnacentral:misc_RNA from 1 species
GGUCGUGCUCUACCAACUGAGCUAUUCCCGCAGUAUCAAGCAACUUUGUUAAUCACUUGAUUUUGUUAUCGUCUGGCAAUCAGUGCUGCCGUUCGAUGCGUUGCAUUCUACUUACCUGACGCACUGAGUCAACGAUAUUUUUCGUCACUCACGAUCGUUUGCUGAAAUUUGCGGCGAAACGAUCACUGAUCAAGCAAAUCUCCACGUGCAGCGCUCAAAUAUUGCAACAUGGACCACAAUGUUAGCACCGCUGCGACAAAGAAAAGCGCGAUCCCGGCAUACUCUACCCAGAUAUUCGGACGCCACAAGAGCCACGCCAGCGC